GAUGAACGCUGGCGGCGUGCUUAACACAUGCAAGUCGAACGGAAAGGCCUCUGCUUGCAGGGGUACUCGAGUGGCGAACGGAUGAGUAACACGUGGGUGAUCUGCCCUGCACUUCGGGAUAAGCCUGGGAAACUGGGUCUAAUACCGGAUAGGACAAUGGUUUGGAUGCUGUUGUGGAAAGUUUUUCGGUGUGGGAUGAGCUCGCGGCCUAUCAGCUUGUUGGUGGUGUAAUGGCCUACCAAGGCGUCGACGGGUAGCCGGCCUGAGAGGGUGUACGGCCACAUUGGGACUGAGAUACGGCCCAGACUCCUACGGGAGGCAGCAGUGGGGAAUAUUGCACAAUGGGCGCAAGCCUGAUGCAGCGACGCCGCGUGGGGGAUGACGGCCUUCGGGUUGUAAACUCCUUUCGCUAGGGACGAAGCGUUUUUGUGACGGUACCUGGAGAAGAAGCACCGGCUAACUACGUG
rnacentral:rRNA from 1 species